AAUGAACGCUGGCGGCGUGCUUAACACAUGCAAGUCGAACGAGAACGGGAUUGCUUGCAAUCCUUAUUAAAGUGGCGCACGGGUGAGUAACACGUGGAUAACCUACCUUAUGUUCCGGAACAACAUUGCGAAAGCGAUGCUAAUACCGGAUGAUGUUUAAAUUUCUUCGGAAUUUUAAAUGAAAGAUUGCCUCUGCUUGCAUGCAAUUGACAUGGGAUGGGUCCGCGUACCAUUAGCUAGCUGGUGGGGUAAUGGCCUACCAGGGCGACGAUGGUUAGCUGGUCUGAGAGGAUGAUCAGCCACACUGGAACUGACACACGGUCCAG
rnacentral:rRNA from 1 species